AAUAAAAAUAUAAACUUUUCCCCCGAUAAAAAAAGAUCUAUGUAUGUUUGGAUAUUAGGUUUAAGCAUUUUAAUGUGGAAUUAUUGUUUUUAAAAACUUACAUAGAAGCGAAAUGCAUACAAUUUUUUAGAUAUCUGGAUAAAGUUGAAAGGAGUUUAGUUCUUAAAGUAAUUGAUGAGUUAUAAGAUUUUUCAAAUAUUAGAAUAUUAAUUCAAUAUGUAAUUAUUAGAAAUAAUUUUCUUAAAAAUUUAGCCAAAUUACACCAUACAUAUUAACCUGUAUCUAUAUAUAAUAAACUUUUUCCUGAGUUUCACCCCAAUAACUCAGAUAAUAAUGUUUAAAUGAGUAUUUUAAGUACAUCUAAAAGAGGAAUUCGGCAAACAACUCUUCAACUGUUUAUCAAAAACAUAGCCUAAAGAGUAAGUAGAUUUUAGGUGAUUUCUGCCCAGUGAAAUUUUUAACGGCCGCAGUACACUGACUGUGCUAAGGUAGCAUAAUAAUUUGGCUUUUAAUUGGAGUCGGGUAUGAAAGGAGCUAUGGGGAGUAGCUGUCUUUAUUAGAUACUAAAAAAGUUGCUAAGAAAGUGAAAAUUCUUUCAGUAAGGUUAUGUAAGACGAGAAGACCCUAAGAAUUUUAGAUAAAAUUAUGAUUCGUACACAUAAAAUUUUUGUUGGGGCAACAGUUUUGGUUAACCAAAACUUGAUAUAUAGUUACAUGUACAAUUAUUUUAAGUUAGGAUAAAAUUACCUUAGGGAUAACAGCAUAAUUAUUAGAAUAGAUUGUGACCUCGAUGUUGGACUAAGGACUUUACUAAAUAGCCUUUAAUAAAGCUAGUUCUGUUCGAACUAUUUCACCUUA
rnacentral:rRNA from 1 species